GGCAGGACUCGUCCACGCCGUCCCGGCCAAGGCCACAGAGAUAAAUUGGGUUCCCGCACCGCCGAGUUCAAGCCCGCCGAGGGCGGGGAGGCAUUCCCAGAGGAGGUGAGGAUGGCGCAGCGAAAGGCUAGAGCGUUUUAACUCCUGCAGCCCCGGCACACUUUUUCAGACCGAGGAUUUGUGGUCCCUGUUGCAGGCUCGGCUUCUUGUAAACUCGGAGCCCUUCGGAGAUGAGGACUGGGGAGACUGAGACCCUAAGACCAAAGUGGAGAGAAAAUGAUAAAUGUCCGUUACCGAUGGUCAGCAUAAAGUGCCAAUCGCAAUACAUCGUCCUGCUCCUGGCCUUCUCGCUCGCGGUGAUGAGGCAGCGGAGCAGGGGAGCCGGAGGCCGGGUCCCCUCCAGCCCCAGGGCCCGAGGCCCUCGCCCCGCCGUCGGAGUCCGGGAGCCCACCGCCCGCUGCGCGGCAGGAGCUGGGAGGGGCGCUCCCCGGCCCCGCGAUCCUGGGGCCCGGCGGCUGAAGCAGAUACAGGGAUUACACUUUUGCAGGCUCCCAGGGUUGGGGUUGGAGGCGGGAGGAGGGGUUGGAGGCUGCGAGAGAGCACAGAACUUCUUUUCCUCUCCCCUCUCUCUCCGCAGUCAGAGUUACAAGCUUAUAUGGUCAAAGAAAAAAAAAAAAAAAGAAUAAA